ACGAACGCUGGCGGCAUGCCUAAUCCCUGCAAGUCGCACGAGAUCUUCGGAUCUAGUGGCGCACGGGUGCGUAACGCGUGGGAAUCUGCCCUUGGGUUCGGAAUAACUUCUGGAAACGGAAGCUAAUACCGGAUGAUGACGUAAGUCCAAAGAUUUAUCGCCCAAGGAUGAGCCCGCGUAGGAUUAGGUAGUUGGUGAGGUAAAGGCUCACCAAGCCGACGAUCCUUAGCUGGUCUGAGAGGAUGAUCAGCCACACUGGGACUGAGACACGGCCCAGACUCCUACGGGAGGCAGCAGUAGGGAAUAUUGGACAAUGGGCGAAAGCCUGAUCCAGCAAUGCCGCGUGAGUGAUGAAGGCCUUAGGGUUGUAAAGCUCUUUUAACCGGGAUGAUAAUGACAGUACCGGGAGAAUAAGCUCCGGCUAACUCCGUG
rnacentral:rRNA from 1 species